ensembl:lncRNA
GUUACUACAGCACAGAGAUCUCCUCUUCCUGAGGUUACUACAGCACAGAGAUCUCCUCUUCCUGAGGUUACUACAGCACAGAGAUCUCCUCCUCCUGAGGUUACUACAGCACAGAGAUCUCCUCCUCCUGAGGUUUGUAGGGAGGGACGGACAGCAGUAGGUUUCUACAGUCCUCCUCCGAGGUUUUGUCCUUGUCCCCUGAGGUUUGUAGGAAGGGGACUGGCAGCGGUAGGUUUCUACAGUCCUCCUCUGGCUCUGUUUUCUAAAGGCAGGAAGAUUACAGGCUGACAGAUCUGCUUGUUUGAAUGUCCAUAAAUGACUAUAAUAAGAUGACAGGUUGAGAUUGUGCCUUUUCAUCAAUGGCAGCACUUGCUUGUUAUUUAUUUUUUAUGCUUUGUAAAAUUAUAUUAAAACAAUUCCAUUUAAGGAGAGCAGGACCAGCAGUGUUGCCUUAGGAACUCGUUUCCAUAUGAAUUCUGCUUCACGAAUGUUUUUGUAAUUGUAUCUCGCCCCAUAUUAAACAGAAAGGAUAUUAUUGAACUUUUUAACAAUUUUAAUGUGAUAUAUAUAUAUAUUGUAAUUGUCAUCAAUACUUCCUUUUGUUGACACAAUCAUCUAAAACGUAUGUAAUUGUCUUAACAGAAGAAUUUGAAAUUCUGGUAUGGAAUAGGUCUUCAUGAAGACCUGACGCUUUGUAGGAUACACUACAGCGUUACGUGUCAGGAACUUGGCUCUGUGCAUCAACUAUACAUCAUCAUUAAUGAAUUAAAUCACAAUAUCCUUAUUAUAAUAUGACCUGUGUAUUAUAGAAACAUAUCUGAAGCCCAAAUUACACCCUAUUCCCUAUGAGCCCUGGUCAAAAGUAGUGCACUACAUAGGGCAGUAUGUCCUCCAGUACCCUCAACAGUACACCAACCCUGGUCCGGGGUUGGGGGUACUGGAGGACCAGGGUUUGGGGGUACUGGAGGGGGGAUAGGAUGCCAUUUGGGGCACUACCUAUAUAACACUAAUGGUUCAGAUGUCCCAAGAUGCCUUAGCUUUGCCAAAACAAACAUCUGAAGUGCAUUUCCUGAUGAUCUUCUGUAUUUGAAUGUACUCUGGCUGGAUCCCAAAUGGCCCCCUAUUCCCUUUAUAGUGCACUACUUUAGACCAGAGCCCUAUUCCCUAUAUAGUGCACUACUUUAGACCUAUGGCCUCUGGUCAAACGUAUUGCACUAUGAGAAUAGGGUGCCGUUUGGGAAGUCGCCUCUGAUAAUUGGUUAUUUUCCGGAUGUGGGUUUUGUAAUGCCUUAUUAUGUUGUAAUGGAGUGAUGGUGACUGUCUCAGCUCUGUUCUGGGAGAGACCACCGCUACCAAGCUAUGCAGUAACUGCUAGUUACGACCCAUCUGUUCUUAAUGGUGUCGCCAUACAGCUAGUUACGACCCAUCUGUUCAGAAUGAUGUCACCAUACAGCUAGUUACGACCCAUCUGUUCUUAAU